rnacentral:tRNA from 1 species
GCCAGCUUGGUGUAAUGGUUAAAACACCAGGCUAAAAAUUGGGAGACUGUGAGUUCAAGUCUCUCCUUUGGCC